rnacentral:rRNA from 1 species
CCUGGCUCAGGAUGAACGCUGGCGGCGUGCCUAAUACAUGCAAGUCGAGCGAAUGGAUUGAGAGCUUGCUCUCAAGAAGUUAGCGGCGGACGGGUGAGUAACACGUGGGUAACCUGCCCAUAAGACUGGGAUAACUCCGGGAAACCGGGGCUAAUACCGGAUAACAUUUUGAACUGCAUGGUUCGAAAUUGAAAGGCGGCUUCGGCUGUCACUUAUGGAUGGACCCGCGUCGCAUUAGCUAGUUGGUGAGGUAACGGCUCACCAAGGCAACGAUGCGUAGCCGACCUGAGAGGGUGAUCGGCCACACUGGGACUGAGACACGGCCCAGACUCCUACGGGAGGCAGCAGUAGGGAAUCUUCCGCAAUGGACGAAAGUCUGACGGAGCAACGCCGCGUGAGUGAUGAAGGCUUUCGGGUCGUAAAACUCUGUUGUUAGGGAAGAACAAGUGCUAGUUGAAUAAGCUGGCACCUUGACGGUACCUAACCAGAAAGCCACGGCU